AGGGUCAGGGCCGGCCCGGAGGAGCGGGAGCCUGCGAAACGCCUCAGCCCACGCGACGUGCCCCCGCAGGCGGGGAGGCGCUCGGUGGGCAGCCCCGGGCCCGAGCUGGGCCUCGCCGGCAGGGAGCGGGGCCGGCCUGACCCUGCGGCCUGGCGCCCGCCCGCGCGCUGGACAGACCGAGCGCCGUGGUGCAGGUGGGGAGCUCAGUUGAAGCGUUGUCUGCGCAGGCAGAGCCGCCGCCCCGCCGCCCGGGGGGCUUUGCCUUGGGUGGCGGGAAGGGAGGAGGCCAGGAGGAAUAGCAGCCAGGUCGUCCGGCCUAACACGUUAAAACAGGCUCCUUCUGCACAGCCCGAAGCCCCAGGUCAUCUCGAACCAUACCAUCGUGUGAAACCCUCUCCAAAGCCACACGGCAUCUGCGACAAAUAAAACACCCGCCUCACAUUUCAUCUUGAGCCUCCGGUCGGCCAGCUGGUGUCUUUAAUGGCUGUAACGUAAAGCAUUUGCUAAUCUAGGUUCUGCUCCUGUUGAAAUCAGUGACAAGACUGCACUUCCAAAGGGUUAGGCCCAGAGAGGUACGCAUCCUGUGCUGGCGAUGGGGCUGGCUUCACUUCCCCUCUCCGGAGGCUGCGGGAUGCCAGCUUGCCCCCUGCAUUUGUUGAAACGGUCCUGCAGAGUACUAACUUGUGUUGCUUUGUAGUGCUGUUGCACUACCAGCAAAUAGCUGGAGUGUACGCACGCCCACUGCCAGCCUGCCUUCAGCCCAGUGCCUACACUGUGGACUGUCGUGCUCGUAGAUCCAGUUAUACUGUUUCGGUGCCUACUAGAGAGACACCCUGUACUGGGGGUUCUCCUUGGGGUGGCUUUACCAGAUCUUUGCAGCCAUUUUAUGUUGAUAUACCUGAAAUAAAUUGACUGCUACUCAACCAUGAAUUCCCCUCUUAGGUUGUAAAUUUCUUGGAGCAGAAACUGUCAUACAUUUUCUUCUAUAUUUAUGCAGUACUGAACAGUUGACAGCUACAGUAUUAAUGAGCAAUAAUAGUCAGACUUAUAUCCUAUGUACCAUUUCACAUCUUCAAAGUAUUGUACAAAAGUAAACUAACUAGUCUUUGCAGAAGGUAAAGUGAUACGCCCACUUCCCAUUACUCAAAGUAAACAAAUAAGAUGAAUGCUACUGUUAAUCUUUACUCUCACCUCUGGUUAGUCAUUUACAUAUCAGUGAUUACUCUUUUCAGCUUAGGUGACAGGGAAACUGCCUGUAUUUACUCAAGGUACUGUAUCAUCAUUGUCCUUAAUGUACUUUUUGCUAUGGUGAAUUGAAUUCUGUGGCUGUGGAAUCAAGGAACAAACCAGGACCCUUAUGGGCUUUUAUAUGUGUCAAAAAAAUAAGGAAGACAAGGUGGAUCCCUUUAAGACUCCACAUGAGGGCACCUUUACGGAAGGCCAGCAAUUGCACAACACUUGUUUUCUCUCCAAAACAUAGCAGUGAAGCCACUUGAAGGCAGCCUUGUCCACUCCCCUGAGAUCUGUAGAUGGAUGCAAGAUUAUGCACUUAGGGACUAACAACAUGAUUUUUUCCAUAAACUGGGGAUAUAUCAGUUGGAAGUGACAAGGAGGAGGAACACAUGGGUGUAUUGGUUAAUCACAGGAUGACUACAAGCUGCCAGUGUGAUGCAGCAGUGAAAAGGCUAAUGCAGUCUUAGGCUGCAUCAAGCGAGGUAUUUCCAGUAGAGAUUGGGAAGGGUUAUUAACAUCAUACAAAGCAUUGGUGAGACCUCAUCUGGAACAGUGUGUGCAAUUCCGGUCUCCCAUGUUUAAGAAAGAUGAAUUCAAACUGGAACAGGUGAAGAGAGGCUACCAGGAUGAUUAGAGGAAUGGAGAACGUACCUUUUGGGAGGAAAUGUAAGGAUCUUGACUUACUAACAAAACAAAGGCUGAGGGGAGAUAGGAUUGCUCUCUAUAAAUAUACCAGAGGGAUAAACACUAGGGAGGGAGAGAAGUUAUUUAAGUAAAGGGCCAAUGCUGGCACAAGAACAAAUGGAUAUAAACUGGCCAUCAGCAAGUUUAGGCUUGAAAUUACAUGAGGGUUUCCAGCCUUCAGAGGAGUAAAGUUAUAGAACAGCCUUCCAAGGGAAGAAGUG